CUUCCAGGAGAUGUUCAUUGGUUAAGACCUCACCUUAAGCUCACCACAGGAGGACAUAAGCCUUUGUUGGAUUUUCUCGAGGGGGAUGUGACUGAUGGAGCUUGAUGGCUGCCUGAAAAAUUGGUCUGUCAGAUGGACACAGGUCCUGAGUCUUCUAAUUGGUUGCCUACACACAGGAACACCUUCAGCAAAGCUCAGUUAUUCACCAUUGCGGUUAUUCAUUGAUAUGAAGAAAUGCAUCUAAUAUGUCCUUCGGGGAUUUGGGCUGAAUGGGAAAAAGGUGUGCUAAUGAAGGCUGGUAGCCAGAAACUGGGAUUCCUAAGCUCCUAUCAUCCUAAGACAGAGGCGGCACCAAAAGGCUGUGUUUGUUCAUAACAAACGCUAAAAGGCCGUGUUUGUUCAAAUAAACACAAACAAGCUGCGCAUGUUCUCAAAGACGGGUAAGAAGGAGUGAUAUAGACUCAGACCUAAGCCAGGCAACAACAGUUUAUCUAUAAAAAAUUAAAAGGGAGAAACUGUACCCUUUCCUGAGCCUUGAAUUGGCUAGACAACUCUUCCUGCCUGAGACUUGAACUACUGCCUGCCUGCUGAGCUGCUGAAGAGCUUACUUUGCAACUCAAUCCAGCUGAAACAAAGGGAUGGGUUUUUGGGUUUUGCCUAUAUAAAAGCAGAGCUGAAAAAUUAAAAUUUGAGCCAUGAUUAGAGAAA